rnacentral:rRNA from 1 species
GACGAACGCUGGCGGCGUGCUUAACACAUGCAAGUCGAACGAAGUGGCGAACGGGUGAGUAACGCGUAAUCAACCUGCCCCUCAGAGGGGGAUAACAGUUGGAAAGGAAUGCGAUUCCCGCAUACUGAAGGAGGGGAUUGCGUCUGAUUAGCUGGUUGGAGGGGUAACGGCCCCCCAAGACGACGAUCAGUAGCCGGGCUGGGAGGAUGAACGGCAACAUUGGGACAGGGACGCGGCCCAGACUCCUACGGGAGGCAGCAGUGGGGAAUCUUCCGCAAUGGACGAAAGUCUGACGGAGCAACACCGCGUGAGGGAUGACGGCCUUCGGGUUGUAAAGCUCUGUUAAUCGGGACGCGGUACCGGAAUAGAAAACCUCGGCUAACUACGUGCCAGCAGCCGCGGUAAUAC